rnacentral:rRNA from 1 species
AUGUGUGAGGCAUGCAAAGGCUGUCGCUGACCUUUGACACAAAGGUCGUGCACGCCAGAGGGUGUCCUCUCGCAUAAAAUCCAUCUCACCCUUUUGUGCACCACCGCGCGGGCACCCUCUGGGAUCGAACCGAUCCAGGAGGGGGCUUGCGUUUUCACACAAACCCCUUUUUAAAAGUGUAGAAUGACCCCAUUUUUGCGAUAACACGCAAUCAAUACAACUUUCAACAACGGAUCUCUUGGCUCUCGCAUCGAUGAAGAACGCAGCGAAAUGCGAUACGUAAUGUGAAUUGCAGAAUUCAGUGAAUCAUCGAAUCUUUGAACGCACCUUGCGCCCCUUGGUAUUCCGAGGGGCACACCCGUUUGAGUGUCGUGAAAAUCUCAACCUUCUCGGUUUCUUCUGGACACCGAAGGAGGCUUGGACUUUGGAGGCUUUUGCUGGCRUAUCUCCCAGCUCCUCUCAAAUGAAUUAGCGGGGUCCUCUUUGCCGAUCCUCGACAUGUGAUAAGAUGUUUCCAUGUCUUGGUUUAUGGCUCUGUUGCUUUUGGGACCCGCUUCUAGCCGUCUCA